CUCCUCCCCGACCCUCGCCGAGAUCCCGACCCUCGCCGCCGCCCGCACCCCGGCCAUCCUCCGCCUUCCGGAGCUCUCCACCGCCUGGGCCAAGAAGGCCCUUGAUCUCGCCCCCCAGGGACUCAUGUUCCCCCAUGAGCGAGUCCCCCGGCACCACUGUUAUCCUUCUCGGUUUCCAGCACUACCUGGUUAUGCUUGGCACCACUGUUAUCAUUCCUACUGCUCUUGUUCCUCAGAUGGGUGGAGGAAAUGAUGAGAAAGCUCAGGUGAUCCAGACAUUACUGUUUGUGGCCGGCUUAAACACUCUGUUAUAGACCUUGUUUGGAACUCGUUUACAAGGUCAAUUUUCUAAACCAAUUGGCUAUCUUGGUUUCUGAACAAAACACUUGAAAAAACUAAUGAGAUUUCAUGAACAGGCCUUCUAGUGUACAUUGGGACAAGUUUCUUCUCUUUAGGUUCUUCCAAAGCUUCCUGCCUUUCUUUGUGUUUGAAGUAUGAUAUCUGUUGUAAUUGGAAUGUAAUUAUGCUCUGUCAGGUUUUUUAAUUUUAAGUAGGUUGAAGAAGUAUAAUAGGAGAGACGGGUCUGGACUGUCAAGUCUCUGUGAAGGAUUUGGGGUUUUGUUUGAUUUUCUUGCAUGUGCUUCUGAAGCAGAGACUGCAGGGUUGUCAUGGACGCAGAAGAUCUGUAUAUGCCAUGUCAGAAAAAUAUUUUGCAGCGUCUUGGAGGAAACAAAAUAUUUGAGUAUUGUUUAUGAUAAAUAAUCUGCCAACGGAUCUAGUAGCAAGGUAUGCAUAGUUAUCAUCUAUCAAGUUUUGAUCUUCUCUUUUUGCUAAAUUGAGAUUAAUAAAGAAGGAUUAAACUUGAGCAGCUGCUAGAAUAUGGUUUGUGCUUGUUGUUCUCAGUCAACCUCCUCCUCCUCCUUCAUCCACUCACACUAAUUAUCCAGGAUCAAUUUUUUGGGGAUGCACCAUCUGAUAAUCGAAUCGAGAACUUCUGGUUGCUAAGCAGAAGGUUGACUGCUGGGGCAGAUCCCAAUUCUAAAAAACAACUUGAUUGGUUGCAAGGAUUAAAUGGAAAGCAUUUUCCAAAUAUACGAGGAGCUGAAUUUGUUUGGGGUAUGGAGGCUGGGUGAGUUUGCCCCAUCGACCAAACAGAAUUUGCUGUGUGAAGUGGCAGCCUUUGGAUGGUGGUCUUGUCAUUUGUGAAAUUAACAUUUGCCCCCAGGAUUACUUUGGCCUCUGAAGGAGAGGCUAAAACUGAGAAAAGCUAUUGCUAUUUUCUUGUGUAGCAUAAAUCAGUGCAUAGAAAUGCAUCGUUUCAUGUGAUUAAGAAUUUUUAGUCUAUCCUCAAACAUUCUGCCGCCAGGAUUACUUCGGCCUAUGAAGGAGAGCCUAAAGCUAAAGAUUGCUGGUGAUCUUCUUCCAUGUGGAGUACUAAACUCAAAGGAAGGGUGGCAUCUUUCCUUAUAAUUUACUUCUUCCAUAGCCUUAUUUAAACAAAACUUGAUAUUUCUGCACAUAUUUCACAGACUGGGAGAAGCUGAGAAGGCAAUUCACCAUUACAAGCUAUCACGAAAGGAAACCAGCUCUAAUGACUUCUCACAAGUGCAUGCUCUCCAGACCCAUUUGGCCAAGUGUAAUGAAGCACGUAAGCAAAAGGAUUGGCUCACUGUGUUAAAGGAAUCACAGGCUGCUGUCUCUGCUGGUGCCGAUUCUGCACCACAGGUCUUUGCAUUGCAAGAGGAGGAGGCUCUUAAGCUCCUAAGGCAUGACGAUGCAGAUUCAGUGUUAAAUGGUGCCGCUAGGAAUGCAUACAUCCUCAUAAUCCGAGCACAGAUCAUGAGUUAGCAGGAGUAUUUUGCAUUUCAUCAGCUACGCAAAGGAGCUUCCAAUACAAGGAUGUAUCACCUGAACACAACGUAUACACAUUUGAGAGAUGUGGUUUCAUGUGUAAGAUUUGGAAGUUUGUGUUAUGAGCCUAUAAAGCCAGAAAGAAGUAGAAAAUAUAAAGAAGACAGUAUAAGGUCGCGUCCCUCCCAGAUGAUAUCUCCAGAUUGUUUGGCUAUAUAAGAAGCCACUCAAUCCGCAACACUGUUGGCCUCUCUGUACACAGUAGAAGCUCGAAAGGCAGUGCAUUCACCUAAAAGACGGCGAAUGUCAUGGAUCAACUGCAUCCCCCUGGAAGAUCGCCUGGAAUUCUGAAUCUCCUCGAUCACCGUGGCGGCAUCCCCUCAAGAAUAAUGCAAACUGCACCCAGCACUCAUCUCGCAUAAGAGACGCCCUUCCAAGUGGCUCUGACCUCGGCUCCAACAACGGUCUAAUCGAAGAUGGCCCCUAGCCACCACUAAUUUGGCCUGCUGAUCUUUGAUGAAAAAGCAGACGCCGCAACAUCCGCUCGCCGUGACACUGUCGUCGAAGUUUACUUUGAGGAAACCAGGGGUGGGGGCUCUCAGGAGAAGAGCAUAAUCCUAGACGCUACAUGAGCGGAGUGAGAGCUCCAGAUUUUCCUAGCCAACCCUAAGAGGUGCCGACGCAGUGAUGUCAAGGACCUUCGUUGCAUGAAGUAUGGCCCUAUCCACCACCACUCUUGAAUGUGCACAUCUUUCCUCAAAGACUCGGACGUUCCUAUCUAGCAAGCAGUGAUAAGCCAGAUAGGCCGCCCUAAGCCUCUGCUCCUACUGGUCGGGCCUCUGAGAGGACUCUUUCAGAAAGAUCAGAAAAUUCUCAACUGACAUGCAUUCCAGGCACAAAACAGAAGAGGCCAAGACGCACUCCCAAAUCUGAGCAGCUCGCGGCAUUUGAAUAAGACGUGGAUAUAGACUCCGCCGCCGCCUGACAAGCCCCACAAGUUGGGGUGAUGCUCAUCCCUCCGGGCCAACACUCCCCUGGUGGGCAGACAACCUCAGGCCACCUUCCAAAUAAACAGUGCCACCUGAGGGUGCUUCCCAGACUUGUGUUAUUUGUUACACGUAUGAUUUUUUUUUUUAAAAAAAAAUCUCUUUGCUGCUUCAACUUCAAUCAAUUGCCUGAACUUCCAUUCACACCAAUUAAGGAGCACAAGGACCAGUUGGACCAGAUAAAAGUGCAUGGCUUAAAGCGAUAAAAUUAAAAGAAAAAAUUGCCAAGAACCAACUAAUGUUUUGAAAAACUAUGUGUGACAAACAAAAUCCAGUGAGAGUCUGAGAUGCAAGAAGAUUGUACUCUUAAUCUGGUUAGUGCAAUCAAUCUAGGAAAAGAGUUUAAAAGAGAUUGAUUUGGCCAGUUGAUCUUGAAGAUUUAAAUAUAAAUUUGAUUAACAUCUAUAUAUCUAAGAUUGGAUAGUCUACGACUUAAAAGUCUUGUUCCUGAAUGCAGAAGCUUUGUAGAAAAGAAAAAUUAUCUCAUCACAAGUUUUUUCUAACUUCAGUUAAUGAAGUUGUGUGACUUAUCAUUUAUUUAAGUGCUUAAGAUGUAUUCUAUAUUAUUCCAUUUAUUUUAUUAAUCGACAUAAAGAGUAGAUUAAGUUAAUUAUGU